CAGGGUACCUUUGACCCUCCUUAGUUCAACCAAAUGAACUAAAGUUUUAAAAUGACAUGAUUUUUUUUUAAAAUAAUUCAUUUGUUUAAACUAAGGAGGAUCAAAAGGUACCCUG
rfam:Brachypodium distachyon strain Bd21 chromosome 1, whole genome shotgun sequence.